rnacentral:miRNA from 1 species
UUUCUCUAGUGGACAUUUGUGGC